rnacentral:rRNA from 1 species
AACGCUGAGGUGUGAUGACGAGGCACUACGGUGCUGAAGUGACAAAUGCCCUGCUUCCAGGAAAAGCCUCUAAGCAUCAGGUAACAUCAAAUCGUACCCCAAACCGACACAGGUGGUCAGGUAGAGAAUACCAAGGCGCUUGAGAGAACUCGGGUGAAGGAACUAGGCAAAAUGGUGCCGUAACUUCGGGAGAAGGCACGCUGAUA